GGCUCAGGAUGAACGCGGGCGGUAUGCUUAACACAUGCAAGUCGAACGGAAUGCUUAGGCAUUUAGUGGCGGACGGGUGAGUAACGCGUGAGAAUUUGGCUUCAGGUCGGGGACAACAGUUGGAAACGACUGCUAAUACCGGAUAUGCCGGAAGGUGAAAGGCUUGCUGCCUGAAGAUAAGCUCGCGUCUGAUUAGCUAGUUGGUAGUGUAAGGGACUACCAAGGCGACGAUCAGUAGCUGGUCUGAGAGGAUGAUCAGCCACACUGGGACUGAGACACGGCCCAGACUCCUACGGGAGGCAGCAGUGGGGAAUUUUCCGCAAUGGGCGAAAGCCUGACGGAGCAAUACCGCGUGAGGGAGGAAGGCUCUUGGGUCGUAAACCUCUUUUCUCAAGGAAGAAAAAAAUGACGGUACUUGAGGAAUAAGCAUCGGCUAACUCCGUGCCAGCAGCCGCGGUAAUACGGAGGAUGCAAGCGUUAUCCGGAAUGAUUGGGCGUAAAGGGUCCGCAGGUGGUACUGUAAGUCUGCUGUUAAAGAGUCUGGCUCAACCAGAUAAAAGCAGUGGAAACUACAGAACUAGAGUGCGUUCGGGGCAGAAGGAAUUCCUGGUGUAGCGGUGAAAUGCGUAGAUAUCAGGAAGAACACCGGUGGCGAAAGCGUUCUGCUAGGCCGCAACUGACACUGAGGGACGAAAGCUAGGGGAGCGAAUGGGAUUAGAUACCCCAGUAGUCCUAGCCGUAAACGAUGGAUACUAGGCGUGGCUUGUAUCGACCCGAGCCGUGCCGGAGCUAACGCGUUAAGUAUCCCGCCUGGGGAGUACGCACGCAAGUGUG
rnacentral:rRNA from 1 species